GAUCCUGGCUCAGGAUGAACGCUAGCUACAGGACUUAACACAUGCAAGUCGAGGGGCAGCAGGACGAUAGCUUGCUAUUGUUGCUGGCGACCGGCGCACGGGUGAGUAACGCGUAUCCAACCUUCCCUUAGUAGGGCAUAGCCCGGUGAAAAUCGGAUUAAUACCCUAUGUUGUGUCAUGAGGACAUCUGAAUAACAACUAAAGAUUUUAUCGACUAAGGGAUGGGGAUGCGUCCGAUUAGGUAGUCGGCGGGGUAACGGCCCACCGAGCCCUCGAUCGGUAGGGGUUCUGAGAGGAAGGUCCCCCACACUGGUACUGAGACACGGACCAGACUCCUACGGGAGGCAGCGAGUGAGGAAUAUUGGUCAAUGGGCGUAAGCCUGAACCAGCCUAAAAGGUAGCGUGCAGGAUGACGGCCCUAUGGGUUGUAAACUGCUUUUAUACGGGGAUAAAGUGAGGGACGUGUCCCUUAUUGUAGGUACCGUAUGAAUAAGGACCGGCUAAUUCCGUGCCAGCCGCCGC
rnacentral:rRNA from 1 species